GGUCCCUAACACACCUGUGACGCAAGCUCCAUUAGUUCUGUCGGUAAUGAGCUGGAUAGGCGUUCCAGCCCGUCAGGGUUGGUUUGUGAUCACAGCCGCCGCGAGUUCUGGCAGAAUGCAGUGCUGGAAGUGAGACGGAGAGACCUGUGUUGCUACACUGCUUCAAAGCCCAGGCCUGGAGUCGAGUGACGUCCUCCCGCUGCGCCCGCACACCAGGGCCACUAUUAGCUUUUCAACUCACUGAUCCCCCACAGCAGCAGGCAGGACCAAGUGGUGAGAACAUCCAUAUUCAUCUUCAAUUAUACAUUGACAGCCAGAGAUGACGACAUGUUUUACAAUAACAAGAGGUCUGAUUCUUCAAAGUGUGCAUAGAGCUACAGGCAAUGGAGUUUCCUUUCCACUUGUUGAAUUACAGUAAAAAAGAGUAAAAUAUAGGCCCCAUAUAUAAGCAUUUUUUUUGCUCAUCAAGGCUGCAUUCAUUUGAUCAAAAAUACAGUAAAAACAAUUAAAUUGUGAAAUAUUAUUACAAUUUAAAAUACCAAUUUUCAUUUUAAUACACUUUAGAGUGUAAUUUACUCAUGUGCUGGCAAAGUUGAAUUUUCAUUGGCCAUACUGCAGACUUCAGUGUCACAUGAUCCUUCAGAAAUCAUGAUAAUAUAGGCUACUGAUUUAAAAAAAACAAAACAAAAAAAAAACUUUUUAAUCAAAGAAUCAUGAUAAAGUAUCACAGGUUAAAAAAAAAAAAAAAAAAAAAAAAAAAAAAAAAAAAAAAAAGCAGCUCAACAGAAUGAUCAUGUGACACUGAAAACUGUUGUAAUGGCUGAUGGAAGUUCAGCUUUUCCACCACAUGAAUAAAUUACAUUUUAAAUUAUACUAACAUAAAAAAAAACAUACUUACAGUAUUUUAAAUUUAAAUAAUAUUUCACAAUAUUACAGUUUUACUGUAUUUUUGAUUGAAUAACUGCAGCCUUGAUGAGCAUAAGAUAAAAAAAGAAAAAUAAUAAUAAAUCGUACUGAUUCUGACUUUUAAAUGGUAGCUUAUAUCAGUCAUAGAAUUUUGUACAGUGUAAUUCAGAUGUAUCUCUUUGAUGGAGAUUCUUGUUAAAAUUGUGUUAUAUAACUAAAAUAUCUACUUUAAUCUGCCAAAAAAUUUUUUAAGAGAAUAUUUGAUUUGGUAUUUGGUAAAUUCAUAUUUCAUAUGUAAUAUAAAAAUACAGAAUUAAUAAAUAAUAAAACCAAAACAAAACAAAAAAAUCUGAUGACCGUUGAAAUACGUAAUAGGGAGAUAUGGCACCAUUUCAUGAUUCGCAAUUUGAUCUAGUUAAUAUUGUAUGCAAAGAAAACUUAAUCUGAAAUAUAUCCAAACUAAGCACUUGAUUCAGGUCACCAGUUAACAAGCUUCUAUUUUAGAGACAUUUCUAGAAUAGAUGUUAAACCAUUGGCUUGAACGGUGUAUUAACCUCAGGACAUUAACCUUCUGAACUGUUGCCCUUUUACUGAAAUAACUGCCAACUUCUGCAGAUCUACAGCAUUGAGUGCAACUCUGUUAAUGAUGCAUACUCGCAGUACAUAAUCCAAACCGUAAUCCUCAGGUGACCACCAAUGAAACCAUAAAGAUCCAUCAACGGCAGGCACAGAUCCAGCUGCACAUCUUGUAGUGUGGGCGAUGGAUUAUUUGUACGUUAUAUCUUUUGGUUCUCCCCAGACACCUAUUUUCAACCCACACGCUUUCCUCUUAAAAUGCGGCAACGCUCCUCACUAAAACAGGAUUAAUAUUAAUCAUUUCUGCUAACGAGGCAGGGCGAAUAAUGAAGGCCAAAAGGUGCUGUGAUUCACCGGAAGGUUUUUUGCAG
ensembl:lncRNA